GUGCCCGUAGCUCAGCUGGAUAGAGCAACGGAUUUCUAAUCCGUAGGUCGCAGGUUCGAAUCCUGCCGGGCACACCA
rnacentral:tRNA from 2 species